UCCCGUCUUUCUAGACUCCAACUGCCUCUUUUUUUUAUACACGCUGUCUCUUGCCCGGGGCACAGGGACGGAUAUGUCUUCUCUUCCACUCCUAGCUAGCAGCACUGAGAGGACAACGGGAGACCAGCAUUCACACUGAGUAUAGCAGCUGCUGUAAACUCACCUCCUAGGAUCGGAAACAGUGUAGCUGCUGUAAACUCACCUCCUAGGAUCGGAAACAGUGUAGCUGCUGUAAACUCACCUCCCAAGAUCAGUGAAUGAGUAGCAUAAAGCAGGAAGAUGGAGACAUGGAGGGGCAUGGGAGAGGGGAGAUUUCAUGAAGAUCAUGAAAAAUGGACUUCCAUGAGAAAGCAGUAGGCUACACCAAGUGUAAUUUAUUGCCAAACUUGUGACAACACUAGUUUGGCAAGGAAGUGACAGAUGAGGCAGUGAUGAACGUGUCCCAGACUGCUGACGUCAUUAUGAAGAAUCUGUUGGACAUUUAAGGCAAUGCCUUUUCGUUGUUGACAAAGAGCUUUGACUACACAGACACCCAGAAAAACAAUCUCUUUAUGUUUUCUAUAAGUUGCCAUUGAACUGUAGUUUAUUUUUGUGGGCCUGAUGAUAUGCACAAUAUGACCAUCUAUCACAGAGAACAAUGUCCUUCCCCUCUUUUCAUGAACAUUUCAGAUUUAAACCAUGAAUAAGUUGUGCUGAAUGCCUUUUGAAUAAAUCAGACUGAGCUGAAAAACAAACAUACGUGUUUGCAAGGUCAUCAAAAUUACAAUAAUUGUUAACUCUUUUCCAACUGCUCUUUUCUGUGUUGAUCUUUAGGAGGAACAGCUAGUUCUACUGGUACAGACACUGGACAUAUUGACCUCAGUUUUGCAACCAUUCCAUACCGGUUGUCAAUGUGGAUCCUGUCUGAGAUCCUGGAGGCUCCAGCUGAUUCUCAUGGCAGCCUCGGAGUCCAUGGGAAGGCUGACCACACCCCGAGAUGGAGUAUAGCAGCAACUCAUAAAUCCCACAGUCACCAGACACUGACCUGGACUCAAAUGUAACUACACCAGCUGCAUUCAGUUGACCUCGAGGCUGGGGAACAGACCAUCAUUAGAACCUGCCACAUCUAAUUACAAAAGACCUGUCCACCAAAAACAACCUAAGAGUGUCUCUCCAGGUACAACUUCCCUCGACUCAUAUUCAUCCUCCUAGAGAGCAUCAACAGAAAUUUGGAAGAACGAUGACCGGACAGCUCGACUUAACCUUCUGGAUCAGUGCAGAAAAGAGGGAAGAGAGACAUGCCAUGCUCACUGAAGAGCUUGAUGUUGAUAUUGCAAGAUUUGUCACACUAUAAGUGACUUGAUCUACAAACUGCCACAACAUAAAAAAGGUCUAACCAAGUUCAAAAUCCAUCAGCAUUUAUUUGAGAUGGGGAAAGAAAGUCCUGGAGACACGGCCGGCUGAAUACAUUGUUUGAAUACACACCCUGAUUUUUGAACAAAAUAAUUUAGUGCACUUUCUUUCCAUUUUAAAUAAUAAGUUCUAAGUAGUCUGCUCUUUUCAAUGUUUGAAAUACUAUAUUGUUACAUUUACAAUUGUACAUACAAAUUUAACAAAUAAAAGAGGUUCUUUGAAUGUGUAUGUCAAUAGUUCACAGAGUUCAGUAGGGCAGUAGGUCAGCUCC